UCUUUAUUUUAUAAGGAUUUUUAAUAUUGGCUUUUUUCGGUGAGUGAAACAACGUUUUUUUUUUAAUUUACGUAACAUUUUGGAAUACUUUUCUUCACCCAUCAUCAGAUGUCCCCCAGAUUAACCCGAAACGUUACGUAAGUGUAAAAAUAAAGAAAGUUGUUUCACUCCCCGAGAAAUGUCAAUGAGUAUAAACCGUUUAGAAAGUACCGGUGAUAAAUUUUUAAUCAUUCCUUUUUUUUUGCACUACUGAUGCAGUCGAAAUAACUAACAGUUUUACACGGAAAAAUUGAGAUACUCAUUAAAUGUAUUGCUAUUACACCUUCAAAAUUACUAAUUGACUGUUGUUCAAAAUUUGUAUACCCUUAAUUCAGUUUUGGGUAAUAUUGGGUAGCCAAUAUACAGACGAAAACUAAUACUCGGUUAUUCAGCUCUGUAUAAAAAGUUUGCUGUUGUUGGAAAGCUUUGGGCGGGGAUGUCAAAGCAAACAAAUUUUCCAAAUUCGCUACCGGUUAUCACAAUGGUUUCAAUUUUUCAUCAUUUUUGCGUUGAAAUCAUCAUAAAUAUCUCACGAAAGGUAUGUAUUCUUAUGAUUCAACUUCAUUGUUUGACCUUUACAAUGAUUUCAGGGAUAUUUUUCACACAGUUGCGGAAGAAGCCAACGGUCGUGUUUGAAACUGGCUGAAGUUUGGAAAAUGGUUCAUCGUUCUGAUCUUUAUUUAACGCUCCUUAUGCUGUUCCGGAAAGUCGAAAGAAUGCAACUGGAGGAUGAGCUUGAUGCCUUCUCGCCCGGUUAAAAUUAUUUCCUCUGAUCAAAACAGAGCCUAUUUCUCUUCAAACCUUUUACCCGACGGGAGUGCUCUACGAAAUACUGCAGUUGAAACGCCGCGGCCGUAUUUUGUUCUUAAAGAAUUGAUAUAUUACACCCAUGACUGGAUCGCACAAAAGCAAAUGCCGGACGAUCGUGCCGGAUGAUGGAAAAGGUGGAACAAAUCGACGACGAUAACUCUACCAAGGAAUCCCAACCGACGGUUAAACAUAAGCGAGCCUUCAAGUAUCACACGUUAGCUUGAAGGCACCGAAGCUAUGGAUCUGUUUUAAUCGUUUAAAUUAUU